UCCUACGGGGGGCAGCAGUGGGGAAUCUUCCGCAAUGGGCGAAAGCCUGACGGAGCAACGCCGCGUGAUCGAAUGAAGGCCUUCGGGUUGUAAAGAUCUGUUGACAGGGACGAAUAAGCCAUGCGAAUAGUUUGGUGUAUGACGGUACCUGUUUAGAAAGCUCCGGCUAACUACGUGCCAGCAGCCGCGGUAAUACGUAGGGAGCAAGCGUUGUCCGGAAUUACUGGGCGUAAAGGGCGCGUAGGUGGGUGCUUAAGUCAGGUGUGAAAUCCUAUGGCUUAACCAUAGAACUGCAUUUGAAACUG
rnacentral:rRNA from 1 species